rnacentral:rRNA from 1 species
CGAGGGUGAGUAAUGCAUUGAUAACCUGCCUUUGAGAUGGGAAUAACUGCGUUUCGAGCAAUCGGAACUACCGAAAGGGCUGCUAAUACCCAAUAAUACUAUAGGUGCAAAAGCACUUGUGGUCAAAUGCUAGGAAUUCUGUUCCUUGUGCUUAAAGAGGGGUUAAUGUCCUAUCAGCUAGUUGGUGGGGUAAUGGCCUACCAAGGCAAAGACGGGUAGCCGGCUUGAGAGGGUGGUCGGCCACACUGGGACUGAGACACUGCCCAGACUCCUACGGGAGGCUGCAGUCGAGAAUCUUUCGCAAUGCCCGAAAGGGUGACGAAGCGACGCCGCGUGUGGGAAGAAGGCCUUCGGGUUGUAAACCACUGUCGGGAGUUAAGAAAUGCAGGUGCGUUAAUAGCGCACUUGCUUGACUAAGGCUCCAGAGGAAGCCACGGCUAACUCUGUGCCAGCAGCCGCGGUAAUACAGAGGCGGCAAGCGUUGUUCGGAAUUAUUGGGCGUAAAGAGCACGUAGGCGGCCUUGCAAGUCAGUUGUGAAAGCCUUCCGCUUAACGGAAGAACGGCAUCUGAUACUACAGGGCUUGAGUACGGGAGGGGAGAGUGGAACUUCUGGUGGAGCGGUGAAAUGCGUAGAUAUCAGAAGGAACGCCGGCGGCGAAAGCGACUCUCUGGUCCGAAACUGACGCUGAGUGUGCGAAA